CUACGGGCGGCAGCAGUGAGGAAUAUUGCACAAUGGGGGGAACCCUGAUGCAGCAACGCCGCGUGGAGGAUGACGCAUUUCGGUGUGUAAACUCCUUUUAUAUGUCAAGAAAAUGACGGUAGCAUAUGAAUAAGCACCGGCUAACUCCGUGCCAGCAGCCGCGGUAAUACGGAGGGUGCAAGCGUUACUCGGAAUCACUGGGCGUAAAGGACGCGUAGGCGGGGUGGAAAGUCAGGUGUGAAAUCCUACAGCUUAACUGUAGAACUGCACUUGAAACUUCUAAUCUAGAGUAUGGGAGGGGGGGAUGGAAUUAGUGGUGUAGGGGUAAAAUCCGUAGAUAUCACUAGGAAUACCUAAAGCGAAGGCGAUCUCCUGGAACAUUACUGACGCUAAGGCGUGAAAGCGUGGGGAGCAAACAGGAUUAGAUACCCCCGUAGUC
rnacentral:rRNA from 1 species